rnacentral:rRNA from 1 species
GACGAACCGUGCGAACGUUGUUCGGAAUCACUGGGCUUAAAGGGCGCGUAGGCGGGCUAUCAAGUCCGGGGUGAAAUCCUCCAGCUCAACUGGAGAACUGCCUCGGAUACUGAUGGUCUCGAGGAGGAAGGGGCGGCCGGAACUGUCGGUGGAGCGGUGAAAUGCGUUGAGAUCGACAGGAACGCCGGUGGCGAAAGCGGGCCGCUGGCCCUCUUCUGACGCUGAUGCGCGAAAGCUAGGGUAGCGAACGGG